GAAGUGCAGCCAGCAGAUAGGAGUGGAGGAAACUGUUACAAAAAGAAGAUCAUGGAUUGGGAGAGAGGAUGAUUUUGUAGGAAGAAAAAAUGAAGGCAUUGUGAUGUGGUGCCCAGGACUUUGGAGACAGACACACGCUUGGUGCCCUCCGGCUCUGCCGCUAAAGCAACACCUUCCAGAGGGCAGCUGCAGGCACCGGGUGGCGUCACACAGGGUCAGACCCGGGAGGCACUCAGCCACGUACCCCUUCCACCAUCCUGCUGGGUUU